AGUAACGGCGAGUGAAGCGGCAACAGCUCAAAUUUGAAAUCUGGCUCUCGGGCCCGAGUUGUAAUUUGUAGAGGAUGCUUUUGGUGAGGUGCCUUCCGAGUUCCCUGGAACGGGACGCCAUAGAGGGUGAGAGCCCCGUCUGGUUGGACGCCGAACCUCUGUAAAGCUCCUUCGACGAGUCGAGUAGUUUGGGAAUGCUGCUCUAAAUGGGAGGUAUAUGUCUUCUAAAGCUAAAUACCGGCCAGAGACCGAUAGCGCACAAGUAGAGUGAUCGAAAGAUGAAAAGAACUUUGAAAAGAGAGUUAAACAGUACGUGAAAUUGUUGAAAGGGAAGCGCUUGUGACCAGACUUGGGCUUGGUUGAUCAUCCGGGGUUCUCCCCGGUGCACUCUUCCGGCCCAGGCCAGCAUCAGUUCGCCCUGGGGGACAAAGGCAUCGGGAACGUGGCUCUCUCCGGGGAGUGUUAUAGCCCGUUGCGUAAUACCCUGUGGCGGACUGAGGUUCGCGCAUUCGCAAGGAUGCUGGCGUAAUGGUCAUCAGUGACCCGUCUUGAAACACGGACCAAGGAGUCGUCUUCGUAUGCGAGUGUUCGGGUGUCAAACCCCUACGCGAAAUGAAAGUGAACGCAGGUGAGAGCUUCGGCGCAUCAUCGACCGAUCCUGAUGUUUUCGGAUGGAUUUGAGUAAGAGCAUACGGGGCCGGACCCGAAAGAAGGUGAACUAUGCCUGUGUAGGGUGAAGCCAGAGGAAACUCUGGUGGAGGCUCGCAGCGGUUCUGACGUGCAAAUCGAUCGUC
rnacentral:rRNA from 1 species